CAAAAUCAAUUCCCGGUACCCGAAACCGACACAGGUGGGCAAGUAGAGAAUACUAAGGGGCGCGAGGUAACUCUCUCCAAGGAACUCGGCAAAAUGACCCCGUAACUUAGGGAGAAGGGGUGCCACCGAGAGGUGGUCGCAGUGAAGAGGCCCAGGCGACUGUUUAGCAAAAACAUAGGUCUCUGCAAACUCGAAAGAGGAGGUAUAGGGGCUGACGCCUGCCCAGUGCCGGAAGGUUAAAGAAGUUGGUCAGUCUUAGGAUGAAGCUAGCGACUGGAGCCCCGGUGAACGGCGGCCGUAACUAUAACGGUCCUAAGGUAGCGAAAUUCCUUGUCGGGUAAGUUCCGACCCGCACGAAAGGCGUAACGAUCUGGGCGCUGUCUCGGAGAGAGGCUCGGCGAAAUAGGAUUGUCUGUGAAGAUACGGACUACCUGCAUUUGGACAGAAAGACCCUAUGAAGCUUUACUAUAGCUUGGAAUUGUGUUCGGGCUUCCUGUGCGCAGGAUAGGUGGGAGGCGUAGAAGGUAUUCUUGUGGGGAUACUGGAGCCAACGGUGAGAUACCACUCUCAGGAGGCUAGAAUUCUAACUUAAUUAAGGACAGUUUCAGGUGGGUAGUUUGACUGGGGCGGUCGCCUCCAAAAAGGUAACGGAGGCGUACAAAGGUUCCCUCAGACUGGUUGGAAAUCAGUCGAAGAGUGCAAAGGCAGAAGGGAGCUUGACUGCGAGAAGUACAGUUCGAGCAGGGUGGAAACACGGUCUUAGUGAUCCGACGGUGCUGUGUGGAAGGGCCGUCGCUCAACGGAUAAAAGUUACUCUAGGAUAACAGGCUGAUCUCCCCCAAGAGUUCACAUCGACGGGGAGGUUUGGCACCUCGAUGUCGGCUCAUCGCAACCUGGGGCGGAAGUACGUCCCAAGGGUUGGGCUGUUCGCCCAUUAAAGCGGUACGUGAGCUGGGUUCAGAACGUCGUGAGACAGUUCGGUCCAUAUCCGAUGUAGGCGUGAGAAUAUUGAGAGGAGCCUUCCUUAGUACGAGAGGACCGGGAAGGACGCACCGCUGGUGUACCUGUUAUGAUGCCAAUUGUAAACGCAGGGUAGCCAAGUGCGGAGAGGAUAACCGCUGAAAGCAUCUAAGUGGGAAGCCCACCUCAAGAUGAGUAUUCUGGUGUAAGGUCACGGGAAGACGACCCGUAAAUAGGCACGAGGUGGAAGUGCAGAGAUGUAUGAAGCCGAAGUGUACUAAUAGACCGUCGGCUUGA
rnacentral:rRNA from 1 species